CUCCGGUAGCACCGCUGGGACAUGGAAUAUAACCGUCAAUAAAUAAACCAAUGAAAAACAACCAGACUGGGAUCAGGGAACACACACUACAUCUUGAGAUGUGUGAGGGAGCACCAACUCUCUCACUAUAUUUCCUGAGCCCCUUUUUGUUCGGAAAUGUGGACAGACUCUCACACACAAUUUUCUUUGUUUUCUUCAUAGCUAGAUCAUGACAUUUGUUAUGAAUUAUUUGUUUGGACAUUAAAGUUGAUGAAACUGUGAGAUAUGAGGAUUGUUGUCUUUUCUUCAUCCUAAAAUCAAAAUAUUGCUCUAAUGUUGACUUUUUCUGGCAUUAUUGUUACACAUUUAUUUUUGAUAUCAUCUGACUUUUCCAGUGAAAUGAGCAAUAAUAAAUGUCUUCAGUCAAUAUGUGUUGUGGGUUUGAUGACCAUGCACAAAAAUCUACACUUUAGAGAGGACGCCGUAAAUGUUUGUCUAUUCAUUAAUCUAGUGAGAAAUACUUUGUGGCUAUUUCUAGGUGCCUUUCCAGAGAAUCAAACUGAUGUUGCGGUCACACUCUUCCACCACAUCCUCAAUCAUCGUUCCUGCUGCGCUGGCAUCUUCCUGCGCAACCCUGAAACCGAAACUAGAAUGUUAGCGCCAUUUUCUUUACAUUGUUUCUCGGGUGUACAUCUGUAGGCUGUCGGUGACACGUGAGCAGACAUGUCUGUUCCAGAGCUGCUCCUCGAGACUCUGCAAGGCCUGCGCAACGACGACUUUGAAACACUCAAGUGGUACCUCUCCAUGGACAUCUUGGAGGGCUGCAAACGAAUUCCUGUGGCAUCUCUGGAGAACGCACCCCGGACAAACACUGUGAGCAGGAUGAUACAGAGCUACGGCGAAGGGUCGGCUGUAAAGGUCACUGCUGCAAUCCUGAGGAAGAUGGGAAAUAACAAUGCUGCAGAUGAGUUAGAGAAAAGAUACGCAGGGAAAAACAGCUAAACCUUCUACCUCCUCCUCUGCUGUAGCACCUCCUGCAGCUCCUGUAGCACCUCCUGCAGCUCCUGUGGCACCUCCUGCAGCUCCUGUGGCACCUCUUGCUGCUCCCGCCACAAUUACAGCUCAGCAUGGAAGUGGGAUAAUCGCUCCGACAAUCACUGGUAGCACCAUUGAGACAUUGAAUAUAAUAUAUAAAUAAUAAACUAAUGAAAAACAACCAGACUGGGAUCAGGGAACACACACUAGAUUUUAAAUUACUGGUGUGAUUGACAUUUACCAUAGUUCACUAUGUACAAUUACAUGCUCCUAAUAAAAAGGAAACAUUUACACAUUAUACAACCUGUGGAAGUCUUCCAGCUUUCAUGUGCCAUUUCAAAGAACAUUUGCCAGCCAGUACAGUUAGAGGGCCCAGACACACCAAACCAACAUCAAAGAACCAGUGGCGAUGAGGACCGACUGCUGCACCACUUCAUGUCGCCUGUGUCUUGCACCUGAACACACUGCAAAGACUACAGCCAACAGCCAACUAGCAUGUACAUUCUGCGCCUGUGUGAGAGGAAAUAACUCCACAGCAGUGGGCAGCAGAAGUCAGUAAUCAUCACUGAAAAUGGAAAAUCUGAAAAACAGACCGGACAGAUUCAAGACAAGCCAGUUACCAUAUUAACAACACAACCCUGUGAUGAAAGAACAAAUUAUAUUUAGUUCAAUGAUUACCAGCUGUUUCUCCCACAGAGCUCAAAGGCUAGAAAUAAUCUUAUCUUAUAUAACAAGUUUGUUUCAAGUUUGUCUUCUCGUGCACUGAGCUGAACUACCAGUCACACAGGUUUCAUUUACUGACGGGCUCUGCCACCGAUUCAACAUGCUGAAUCAGCUGAAAAACUUGCAACAUGGCCGACUAGUGCCAAAGGUGCGGGACACUGCAGUAACCACAGCGACAGAUUCUCACUGACGGCCCUACAUUCACCCAUGGCUGACCUUCGGUUUCGUGUGUCGGGGCCCUUAGUCUCUGUAUGUAGCACUUCAAAGCAGCAAGCACAUAUGAUACAUGCUUGUUAAAACAUAAUCAUGUGUUUGUUGUAGCUUCUCCUGUGAAGUUUAUUUAAUUACAACUGUGUGAUCGUACACCAGCUUCCACCUAUGGGUGGUGUAAUGAUGACCAUAUCUAUUACAAUGAUGUGACACCAGGUCUGGCAGAAUAGACAUUCCCCUUUUUGGUGCUGUUUUUAAACCAAGUACUCUCAGUACAUUUGAAUUGAAUUUGUAUUUAAACUUAACUACAAAAUGGUUUUUAAAAAAAUAAAUAAACAACAACAAAACAA